rnacentral:rRNA from 1 species
CCGGUUUUUCAAAAACAUCGCCUCCUGCAAAAAUCAACGUAUAGGAGGUCUUGCCUGCCCAGUGACAAGUUAAACGGCCGCGGUAUUUUGACCGUGCGAAGGUAGCGCAAUCACUUGUCUUUUAAAUGAAGACCUGUAUGAAUGGUGGAACGAGGGCUUAACUGUCUCCCCUUUCAAGUCAAUGAAAUUGAUCUGCCCGUGCAGAAGCGGGCAUACAAAUACAAGACGAGAAGACCCUUUGGAGCUUAAGAUACAAGAUCAACUAUGUCAAGAACCCUAAAAGUUAAACUAAAUAGCAACUGAUCCUUAUCUUCGGUUGGGGCGACCGCGGGAGAAAAUAAAGCUCCCACGCGGACUGGGGUUAAUCCCCUAAAACCAAGAAAGACAUUUCUAAGUCACAGAAUAUUUGACCACAAAGAUCCGGCUUACAACUGCCGACCAACGGACCAAGUUACCCUAGGGAUAACAGCGCAAUCCCCUUCCAGAGUCCAUAUCGACAAGGGGGUUUACGACCUCGAUGUUGGAUCAGGACAUCCUAAUGGUGCAGCCGCUAUUAAGGGUUCGUUUGUUCAACGAUUAAAGUCCUACGUGAUCUGAGUUAAAACC